rnacentral:rRNA from 1 species
CUACGGGAUGCAGCAGUGAGGAAUAUUGCACAAUGGGGGGAACCCUGAUGCAGCAACGCCGCGUGGAGGAUGACACAUUUCGGUGCGUAAACUCCUUUUAUAUAAGAAGAUAAUGACGGUAUUAUAUGAAUAAGCACCGGCUAACUCCGUGCCAGCAGCCGCGGUAAUACGGGGGGUGCAAGCGUUACUCGGAAUCACUGGGCGUAAAGAGCAUGUAGGCUGGUUAGUAAGUUGGAAGUGAAAUCCUAUGGCUUAACCAUAGAACUGCUUCCAAAACUACUAACCUAGAAUAUGGGAGAGGUAGAUGGAAUUUCUGGUGUAGGGGUAAAAUCCGUAGAGAUCAGAAGGAAUACCGAUUGCGAAGGCGAUCUACUGAAACAUUAUUGACGCUCAGAUGCGAAAGCGUGGGGAGCAAACAGGAUUAGAUACCCCAGUAGUC